UUGACAUGGUAAUGAGAAUCGCUAUGAUUACCGCAUCCGGUCGCGAGACUGGUCGAUAUUUGAAAAGCCCUUGGUUCGGACUCUCAGAUAUCUCCUCAUCAGGCUAAUCACGGUUAUUUGACCCGGCUCUUGCCGGGUCUUUUUUUU
rnacentral:sRNA from 1 species